AAACAAUUAUGGUGUCUGACCUCUGAAAACAGGUUCUCAUCUUCAGUUCCUUGAGUUGCUGUGUGAGCCACUGGAGGGCACUGGUGGCUUCCCUCUCCUCUUUAUGGAGCUGCACCUGUAUGUGCUAUUUUGUAGCAAACCUUAAGAAGCCUUCUUCAUAUCAAAAGGUGGCUGUGUGUAUACGCACAUGCAUAUGCUCAUCUAUACGGGGCUAAGCUGCAAGCAAGUUGAUGCCAGAAGUUAUGAAGUGGCUCUAAACUCUCUCCCUAAACAUGGAUGAUGUUGUGAUGAAACCGUGGUGGAGUUGUUCAGUCUUUCAUUAAUUAUCUAAAACCAAAUAUAACUGACAGUUGUUGAAGGUGAUCUUUUCCUCCAGCUGUUUUCCACUGUAUAAACAUUACCUGCUGUGAUUUACAUAAACACUUAGGCAAAUACCAUCCUCAAGGAGUAGAAAACAUACAUGUCUUCAGUGGAAACGUUUAUAUUGUCAAGUACUAUAAUCACUAGUAUGUGUUUGUGCCAUAGUAAUAUCUAAAGGUCUAUGGAGGACCAGUGAUCCCAAUGAAAGUAUUUAUGAGUGUGCCUCAGGCACAGCCUGUCUG